CACGCCCCUUGAGGCGUUGCAGCGCAGCCGCGCCCGUGUGGCAGCUGUGUCAGAAGGCGGCAAAGAGCGAAAGCCGGUCGACGGCAAUGAUGACGCUGCGUUUUAUUGACCGCCGAC